AUCCCACCGAUAGAUGCCUGCGGUUGUCCCCUCUAUGACUUCACUGUUGGCCUGUCCCUCUACGAAGCCUCGACCGUCGGGCCUCCAUUUUCCCUCCCGGUGCUGGCCACUCCAUCGCCCUUCCGACGACGCCUCUCCUCCGCCUCCGCUUUGCGUAUGAGGGAUCACACAAUCACUGACAAUAUGGCCGGUUCCUCAGGUCGGGCACCAGAUGCUCCGAACCUGCCAUAUCAUGCUCGGCUAUGGCGGGAACGAGACGAUCGCCUGGGCCACCUCCCAUGGUCCUCGGAAGCUCCAAAUAAGAGGCAGGACAGACGGCGUAGGAAAGGCGCGCGACCGAGAGACGGCCGCCUUCGGAUAACAAGACCUCGAUGUUGCCAUGGCAGUCAGACGCGUGGUGCGUCCGGCAACGCGCCGUCACUCCCAGACAACUCGCAGCCGUUCUCUGACGACGACGCUUACGGCUUGCCCCGCCGCCUUAUGCAGCCCUCCCGCCGUCAGCGUGCGAGGUCGCUACGGCCCGGCUACCUUGCGCCCUCUCGCCGUCUCUCUGGCCGCAGUCCGGCGCCGCCUUCCAGUGCAGAUGGGAGGCCGCCGCCUUGAGCUCGCGCCAGCCCUGCUGCAAGUCAGCAGUGGACGAGGUCGACCUGCACAGACGGGAGACGGCGCAGAGUGCUGGCCGCGCUCGCCGCCGCGGCGAUGGGCAUGGCCAAUACGGUGAUGGACGAGAUGGUCUACAACAUGAACAACAAGAAAGCGCACGAUGGCACCGUCGCGGCCUCGACAAAAUCCCUGUGCCCCCGGCCGUAUCUCUGGCUACUCCUCCAGCGGCUCCGCCGUCACCGUUGCCCGAAGCCUUGCUGACUUCGCCCUGUGAACAGAAAGCGGCGGCAACGUCAGGUGUCCGCUGCCUAUUGCGGCAUCUGCAGGCUCCGGCCCUCCCACGGACUGGUGUGCACUGAAUAUGUCGCCCAGAUGGCACAUAUGUUCGACACUGUCGGUUUCAGUUAUGCUUAUGCGAUAUUUGCCCCGCGAUGGGGCCAGUCGAACAUAUGUUGCUUUCACUGCAGGGCCGCGUCGAGCUGCGGAAUGCCCUGGGGCUACUCCCUGAAGCACUAUACGCCUCCUACUCAUUGUCUUUGUUUCCUUCAGGUUUAGGACAGUUCAUAAUACGCGUCUUCUAUAGUAUGCACAUCUCCAAAACGGUAUCCUGCAUGAGCAAUACAGAGGUGUGGAGUGUGGACCAAAGACGCUGUCAUGAAGGGCUUGACAUAUUCCUCAAAAAAAAAAAGUGGGUUGGAUGCUUCAGAUUAGUUCAUGUUUUCAAGGCCUCAAAACAAUGAUCCAUGCAGCCCAUCAUUUUUUA